rfam:Picea glauca, whole genome shotgun sequence.
CUGCCAAUGAUGAAAUUGUAAACAUAACACCAUCUUUCGGAUCUUAGUGGUCCAAGGGCCGUGCUGAUAGUUUGCACUUCUGAGGCAA